GUGAGCCGUGUAAUAGGUGACCAUUUCGCGCGGUUCGGGGGGCACUUGAAUAAGCCGCCGGCACCCGGCUGCGUCUUUACCCCUAU
rfam:Triticum aestivum genome assembly, contig: Triticum_aestivum_CS42_TGACv1_scaffold_565568_7AL